rnacentral:tRNA from 3 species
GUGUAGCUCAAUGGUAGAGUUCUGGCCUUCCAAGCCAGCUGUGAGGGUUCGAUCCCCUUCACCCGCUCCA